AGCCGGACCGACACUCACCGAGGCUCGCCGGGAGCGCCCGCGCCCGCGCCCGCACUCGGAUCCCGCGGCGGCGGCGGCGGUGAGUCCGGCGCGGGUAAACAGGCACCUCCGUCCCUGACCUACUUUCUGCCUUCCCUAAAUGUCGCACCACUAACCUACUUUCCGACCAAUCCGCUCCCCGCCGGCCCAGGCCCGGCCCCCCGCCCACCAAUCGCUGUGCCCAACCCCCCUUCCCCGCCCACCAAUGGAGGAGCAGCGGAGCCCGGAUACCUGCCUCUUUCCGCCAGCCAAUCGGAGCGCGAGAAGAGAGCCGGCCUCGGCGGCAGCUCCUGACCAAUCGUCGCGCGGUUUGGCGGCCUAUUGGCCAAUGGAGUGACGGUUUGGGAAGUCACUGGCCAAUGGCGAGGCGGCGGGGGUCCGGGUUACCUGCUACUUUCCCAUCACCAAUCACUUGGCUCACAAGAGCGCACGCCCCGAGGAGCAGGCCAAUCCGCGCGCGUUCUGUGGUUUGCGCACCCCGCCCUCUCCCUGUCCCCUCAGGUCUCCCGCUCGCUUCGGCCACUGCGGUGCAGGUUUCGCGCUCUCCUGGUCGCUCGGGUAGCCCCUUUUCUGAGUCCGGGCCGGCGCCUGGCUCCUCGCUUUCUUCUGUCCUCCUUCCCUUUCUUCGCUCGAGGCAGCCUGAGGAAACGCACCUUCUCCCUUCCCUCCCUCCGACUCCAUCUAGGAAACCAAUUUUAGGCGCACAGAGCGCCAGACUCUUCCUAGAACCCCGAAGUCCAAACCCGAGGACGAGCGCUCGGUGUUUCUAGAAGGCGUCGCCACCAUGGGACCGCGAGCGUUCUCGCGUUCUUUUCGUACUCUUGACCUCCAAGUAUCCCGCAGAGCUGUCAUUGUUGAUCCGAAGAGAAACCUCCAACUCGGAGCAGUUCUCCGGGGUCCCCUUCCUGGAGCCGGGUCCUGGCUGCUGACUGUGUUGUGUGGAAGACCCCGUCCCGGCGGCCGCGCUGUGCACUACACAAGGCUGUCUGGGGGUCAAGACGGAAAGAAAGUCGUACGGAAAAUGCAAGGUCGUGACGAGAACGCUCCAUGUACUGGGGCUUUAACAAAGCGCUUGGAGAAAGUUUAUGGACAAGAUGAGAAAGCUAGAGGUGGAUGGAUGGAUGUCACUAGUUACGCUAAUAACCGGCUAAAUAACCAUUACUUAAAGAUGCUGACUAAUGCGUCCUUGUCGACCGGAAGGAAGGCUGGAGGGAACCAAAAUUCAGGGAGCUUUAACUCUGUGUCAGGCACUGUGGUUAAACACUUUCCCCGUGUUUUCUUCUGAGUCCUCACGGCCCCCCUGUGAGGAAGCUGUUAUCCCAUUUCACAGAUAAGAAGCUGAAACAGCUGGCACAGUGUCACACAGUAGUGGCAGAGUCAUGAUUCAAACCAGAACUUGUUUCACCCCAAAACCUCCGUACUACAGCAUUUACCAUCAGGACUUUCUUCAGUGUCCCGAAUGAAAAACCACAAGACUUGCAUGGCAUUUCCCAAUGACACAAAGCCAAGUGGGGGAAGAGAUCCCAUUACUUAACAUCAGUCAAAUCCAAUAUGGAGCAGUGGGCUGCCUCUAAGAGGGGUUAAUGUGGGGUCCCAUUCUGGGCGGCCAGCUGUUCCAACGCAGGUUAGGAGCACAGGUGUUUUAACAGAUGUUCAUAAGAGCAAUGCAGAGGGUCAUAAGGGAAAUACAACUCAAUCUGAGCCCACAGGGAAUUGUUGCUGCCAAAAUAAAGGAAAGCUGUCUGUGGCUGCAUCAGUAGAAGCCUGAUAUAAAGCAAGUUGUGUGUUGUUGUGCGGCAAUUACGACUUUGCAAAGAGAAAUUAUCUACAUGCACUAGGAGAGGGACCAGGAUGUACAGAGCUAGAAACUAUGUCAUAAAGGGAAGAUUAAAGGGAACAGGAGGUUUUGCCCUAGGGGGUACAAGGUAACUGCCAUCAUGUAUUUGAAGAGCUGUCAAAUAGAUGAGAAAUUAGGUUUAUUUUCCAGGGUCCUAAAGGAUGGAAGGGAGACCAGUGGGAGGAAAGUCUAGAAUGAAUCAAUACAAAGAAUUUUCUGACCACUUAAGCCUCCUGUGCCUUGAGAAGUUGGGUUUCUUGUCACAGGAAGUGUCUAGGCAAGAAAUGGAUGACCACGUGGGGGAAGGAGAGAUGGAAGGGAUGUCUUUUAGGAUUCUGCC
ensembl:lincRNA